rnacentral:rRNA from 2 species
ACAAUGGAGAGUUUGAUCCUGGCUCAGGAUGAACGCUAGCGGGAGGCCUAACACAUGCAAGCCGAGCGGUAGAGUAUCUUCGGAUACUUGAGAGCGGCGCACGGGUGCGGAACACGUGUGCAACCUGCCUUUAUCUGGGGGAUAGCCUUUCGAAAGGAAGAUUAAUACCCCAUAAUAUAUUGAGUGGCAUCACUUAAUAUUGAAAACUCCGGUGGAUAGAGAUGGGCACGCGCAAGAUUAGAUAGUUGGUAGGGUAACGGCCUACCAAGUCGAUGAUCUUUAGGGGGCCUGAGAGGGUGAUCCCCCACACUGGUACUGAGACACGGACCAGACUCCUACGGGAGGCAGCAGUGAGGAAUAUUGGACAAUGGGUGAGAGCCUGAUCCAGCCAUCCCGCGUGAAGGAUUAAGGUCCUAUGGAUUGUAAACUUCUUUUGUAUAGGGAUAAACCUACUCUCGUGAGAGUAGCUGAAGGUACUAUACGAAUAAGCACCGGCUAACUCCGUGCCAGCAGCCGCGGUAAUACGGAGGGUGCAAGCGUUAUCCGGAUUUAUUGGGUUUAAAGGGUCCGUAGGCGGAUGUGUAAGUCAGUGGUGAAAUCUCGCAGCUUAACUGCGAAACUGCCAUUGAUACUGCAUGUCUUGAGUAAAUUUGAAGUGGCUGGAAUAAGUAGUGUAGCGGUGAAAUGCAUAGAUAUUACUUAGAACACCAAUUGCGAAGGCAGGUCACUAAGAUUUAACUGACGCUGAUGGACGAAAGCGUGGGGAGCGAACAGGAUUAGAUACCCUGGUAGUCCACGCCGUAAACGAUGCUAACUCGUUUUUUGUGCUUCGGCAUGAGAGACUAAGCGAAAGUGAUAAGUUAGCCACCUGGGGAGUACGUUCGCAAGAAUGAAACUCAAAGGAAUUGACGGGGGCCCGCACAAGCGGUGGAUUAUGUGGUUUAAUUCGAUGAUACGCGAGGAACCUUACCAAGACUUAAAUGGGAAUUGACAGAUUUAGAAAUAGAUCCUUCUUCGGACAAUUUUCAAGGUGCUGCAUGGUUGUCGUCAGCUCGUGCCGUGAGGUGUUAGGUUAAGUCCUGCAACGAGCGCAACCCCUGUCGCCAGUUGCUACCAUUCAGUUGAGGACUCUGGCGAGACUGCCUACGCAAGUAGAGAGGAAGGUGGGGAUGACGUCAAAUCAUCACGGCCCUUACGUCUUGGGCCACACACGUAAUACAAUGGCCGGUACAGAGGGCAGCUACACAGCGAUGUGAUGCAAAUCUCGAAAGCCGGUCUCAGUUCGGAUUGGAGUCUGCAACUCGACUCUAUGAAGCUGGAAUCGCUAGUAAUCGCGCAUCAGCCAUGGCGCGGUGAAUACGUUCCCGGGCCUUGUACACACCGCCCGUCAAGCCAUGGAAGUCUGGGGUACCUGAAGUCGGUGACCGUAACAGGAGCUGCCUAGGGUAAAACAGGUAACUAGGGCUAAGUCGUAACAAGGUAGCCGUACCGGAAGGUGCGGCUGGAACAUCUCAUUUUAGAGACA